rnacentral:rRNA from 1 species
GAUGAACGCUGGCGGCGUGCCUAAUACAUGCAAGUCGAGCGAACAGGCGAGGAGCUUGCUCCUCUGACGUUAGCGGCGGACGGGUGAGUAACACGUGGAUAACCUACCUAUAAGACUGGGAUAACUUCGGGAAACCGGAGCUAAUACCGGAUAAUAUAUUGAACCGCAUGGUUCAAUAGUGAAAGACGGUUUUGCUUUCACUUAUAGAUGGAUCCGCGCCGCAUUAGCUAGUUGGUAAGGUAACGGCUUACCAAGGCAACGAUGCGUAGCCGACCUGAGAGGGUGAUCGGCCACACUGGAACUGAGACACGGUCCAGACUCCUACGGGAGGCAGCAGUAGGGAAUCUUCCGCAAUGGGCGAAAGCCUGACGGAGCAACGCCGCGUGAGUGAUGAAGGUCUUCGGAUCGUAAAACUCUGUUAUUAGGGAAGAACAAAUGUGUAAGUAACUAUGCACGUCUUGACGGUACCUAAUCAGAAAGCCACGGCUAACUACGUG